rnacentral:rRNA from 1 species
UUGUAGGCUGCAACUCGCCUACAUGAAGUCGGAAUUGCUAGUAAUCGCGGAUCAGCAUGCCGCGGUGAAUACGUUCCCGGGCCUUGUACACACCGCCCGUCACACCAUGGGAGUCGGUAACACCCGAAGCCUGUAGUCUAACCGCAAGGAGGACGCAGUCGAAGGUGGGAUUGAUGACUGGGGUGAAGUCGUAACAAGGUAUC